rnacentral:miRNA from 1 species
CAAGGGGUAUUGCGGAGGAUA